rnacentral:rRNA from 1 species
ACUCCUACGGGAGGCAGCAGUGCGGAAUAUUGGACAAUGGGCGAAAGCCUGAUCCAGCCAUGCCGCGUGUGUGAAGAAGGUCUUCGGAUUGUAAAGCACUUUAAGUUGGGAGGAAGGGCAGUAAGCUAAUACCUUGCUGUUUUGACGUUACCGACAGAAUAAGCACCGGCUAACUCUGUGCCAGCAGCCGCGGUAAUACAGAGGGUGCAAGCGUUAAUCGGAAUUACUGGGCGUAAAGGGCGCGUAGGCGGUUACAUAAGUCCGAUGUUAAAGCGUAGGGCUCAACCCUAUAAAGGCGUUGGAUACUGUGAAACUAGACUUCUGGAGAGGUAAGUGGAAUUACCAGAGUAGCGGUGAAAUGCGUAGAUACUGGUAGGAACACCCAUAGCGAAGGCAGCUUACUGGACAGAGAGUGACGCUGAGGCGCGAAAGUGUGGGGAGCAAAACCGGAUUAGAUACCCUGGUAGGUCAGU